AUACGAAGGGGGCUAGCGUUGUUCGGAAUUACUGGGCGUAAAGCGCAUGUAGGCGGACAUUUAAGUCAGGGGUGAAAGUCCCGGGGCUCAACCUCGGAACUGCCUUUGAUACUGGGUGUCUAGAGUGUGGAAGAGGUAAGUGGAAUUCCGAGUGUAGAGGUGAAAUUCGUAGAUAUUCGGAGGAACACCAGUGGCGAAGGCGGCUUACUGGUCCAUUACUGACGCUGAGGUGACGAAAGCGGUGGGGAGAC
rnacentral:rRNA from 1 species